rnacentral:sRNA from 1 species
UCAGAAUCUGCCAGAUGGAGGAUGAGAAGCUCCACCGAGGUUCGACGACAGCGCGUAGCAAAGCGGAGCGAUGGAGAACAGCGGUAGCGCUGGCCCCGCAGGGGUGAGGCCUACGGGCCGAAUAAUCCUUCAUCCCCAGCCA